UGAGUUUGGUUCGAGCUUUGCCAAAUUGAUGUUCGAGCUUGUUUCCUUGUUUCCCUUGCACUGGAACUGCAUUUCAUGUUGCCGCACUGAUGGGAUCUCGAAUUCCAUUAGCUUAUAUAGCUGUGCAGACCCAUUCUUUACCCGAGGAUUUUCAUGGGCUCCACGUCGAAAAUACUGUGAGCGGGUUCUUGACGAAUGAGCAAAGAUGGCAUAUGCACUGGUAGAUGUUCUGGACCUACUGUCGAGCCACACUAUCAAGGAUGGAGACAUUUUCGUUGCCGAUCGACUUACGCUAAUUAAGCACUUUAUAUUUAUUUAUAAAUGUAUAUAUAUACUUUUGUUGCCUUUUUUUUGUUAAUUUUGGUGAGAAUGCCACUGUUUGUCGCCAGCGCCGCGUUUCUUUGAUUCUCAUGUGUCUCCAACACCUUAAAUUGAUUUCUGAGGCUUAGAUACAAGAGUGGGUAUUUUGCGAAGUCUUCGAUGACAAGCAUUGCAAAAGCCGAUAGGUUUACGAUUAGGUGAUGACAAUGCUUGGAGUGUGUAUGUUCAUGAUUCUGAAUUUACAUUCCGAGUUAUAACAAUACCGGUUCCUUUGCCCAUAGUGCCUGGUCUAUUCCAGAGUCUGUAGCCACAAUAUGCGUAGUUGUAUUAUUAUGGCUUAGAACGUUUGCAUUUUAUUGUCAUGCGCAUCUCACAGGUUUGAGAAAGUACUAGUUUUUCUGCAUAUGAUUGAGGACUGAGGGUGGUAAAAAAAACAGUUAUUGCUUGUGGGAACGAGGAAAUAUUUCUAACAUGUGAUGAACAUCGUGGCAGGGUUGGGGUUUUGUUUAGGUUAGAAUUGAUAGAGAUGGAUGGGUGACAUUUCUUUCUGAAGGAGGGGAUUUGAGGAAAAGGAGGUCUAAAGGUAAAGGGUGGAAGAGAAAGAGAGAUGAGCUUAGACGGGUCGGAGUCACUAGCACCGGCAUUAUCACCAUCAUCCAGUUGUGGUGAUUUUGCAGCUUUGCUUGACGCUGAGCUAUUUGUACAUGAGCAAUCAAUGGCUGACAGGCCGGAAGACGAGGGUUUGGUUAUCUAUGGGAACAUGAGCUCUUCUCCACAUAGGUUCUCAAUUUGAGCGUGUUGCCCUGGCACUUGGGCGAUUUUCACCUGAUAGUUGUCAAUGUUUGUUGUCAGGCAAUAGUACAAGUUAUGUGUAGGUUUUUGGGUUGUUUCUAACGUUUUGUUGUUAACGGGCUAAGCAGACAUUCAACUGGGUUAAGAGUUGGGUUCAUAAGCCUAUGACAAUGGUUAGGAGAGUGCUUGAUUUUUCAUCAACUAUUCUUAAAUUCUUGCAUCCA